rnacentral:rRNA from 1 species
UACGUAGGCAGCAAGCGUUGUUCGGAAUUGCUGGGCGUAAAGAGUGCGUAGGCGGUUGGCUAAGUUUGGUGUGAAAUCUCCCGGCUUAACCGGGAGGGUGCGCCGAAUACUGAGGGACUAGAGUACGGGAGAGGAAAGUGGAAUUCCUGGUGUAGCGGUGAAAUGCGUAGAUAUCAGGAGGAACACCGGUGGUGUAGACGGCUUUCUGGACCGACACUGACGCUGAAACACGAAAGCGUGGGUAGCAAACAGG